GUAGGGAAUCUUCCGCAAUGGGCGCAAGCCUGACGGAGCAACGCCGCGUGAGUGAUGAAGGUUUUCGGAUCGUAAAGCUCUGUUGCCAGGGAAGAACGUCCGGUAGAGUAACUGCUACCGGAGUGACGGUACCUGAGAAGAAAGCCCCGGCUAACUACGUGCCAGCAGCCGCGGUAAUACGUAGGGGGCAAGCGUUGUCCGGAAUUAUUGGGCGUAAAGCGCGCGCAGGCGGUUAUUUAAGUCUGGUGUUUAAACCUUGGGCUCAACCUGAGGUCGCACUGGAAACUGGGUGACUUGAGUACAGAAGAGGAAAGUGGAAUUCCACGUGUAGCGGUGAAAUGCGUAGAUAUGUGGAGGAACACCAGUGGCGAAGGCGACUUUCUGGGCUGUAACUGACGCUGAGGCGCGAAAGCGUGGGGAGCAAACAGGAUUAGAAACCCUAGUAGUCC
rnacentral:rRNA from 1 species